rnacentral:lncRNA from 1 species
GGAAGCUUGGACUCUCCAAGCUCCCAGAUGGAAUAGCAGAGCAGCAGCCUGUGGUCAAAAAAAGCCAGAUAGCUGUCAGGCCAGGCUGAACAGACACCAAGAGAUUAUCACUGCAUCCUGCAGCCUUGCUUCAGAGCCGAGCUUUUAAAGCAUUUCCUCAUUUGAAGCAGAAAUCUUUUUUUCCUCAGUGCAAACUCAGUGCCCUGACACAAUAACACGUCUUUAAACUGGUUGUGGUCGCUUCACAAAGGCUUGGGGCAGGGUGCAGCUGCAGAAACUUUCCCCCUCUGGGUACCCAGAAAUGCAACAUUCAGGGCACCGAAGCCGAUCUCGAACCACCCUCACUGCAGUCUCACAUUCCUUCCCCCUGCAGCCUCAUCUCACAAACAGCUAUUUCAUGAACACACAAUGCAAGGAGAGGCUUCUUGUAUCACUUCAGAAAGAAAACCUCUGGGAAACAUCUGUCUCUCAAUGUUCUCCCUUCUACAUACCAACUUCUAUAUCAACAAACUGCGUGGGUCAUGAGCUGCAAGCUUGGCCAAUCCACUGCUGAUUUUGUUCUCAUUUGAAAUCAAGUUUUGCUUUCAAGUUCAAGACGAGUUGAUUUUCUCUUCCUGCACACAGCUGCCAGCAGCUUCAUGACCUUUCUCAAGUGCUGCAAGUUUCCUGUGAGAAUUUCCUCUUCUCAAACUACUGAGAGCCUCCCAGCACGCCUGCCUUAUCCCCCUGCUUUUCUAUUUAAACUUUCACAAGUUUAAGACCAGAAAAAAAAAAAAAAAAAAGCAAAAUCAUCAUUUGUUUGGCCUCACCCUAUGAUGAGGAACGGGAGUUCUGCUUUGGCUUUGUUUUCCUCGUCAGUCCCGGUGCUGAGACAGGAAUAAGCAAAGACAUGCAAAUCUGAGAGAGAACAGCAGUAGCAAGGUGCAUGAAGAUAGACAAGACAGCACAGCUCCCAAAGGUCCAGAGGAACUGAGUCAUAAACCAUAGUAAGUCCUACCUGGCUCAGUAG